ACUGCAGGCUGCAACUCGCCUGCACGAAGUUGGAAUUGCUAGUAAUCGUGGAUCAGCAUGCCACGGUGAAUACGUUCCCGGGUCUUGUACACACCGCCCGUCACACCAUGGGAGCCGGUAAUACCCGAAGUCAGUAGUCUAACCGCAAGGAGGACGCUGCCGAAGGUAGGAUUGGCGACUGGGGUGAAGUCGUAACAAGGUAGC
rnacentral:rRNA from 1 species